rnacentral:rRNA from 1 species
UACGGGGGGAGCAAGCGUUGUUCGGAUUUACUGGGCGUAAAGGGCGCGUAGGCGGCCACCGCAAGUCAAUUGUGAAAUCUCCGGGCUUAACUCGGAAAGGUCAACUGAUACUGCGGGGCUAGAGUGCGGAAGGGGCAACUGGAAUUCUCGGUGUAGCGGUGAAAUGCGUAGAGAUGUGGAGGAAUACCGAUGGCGAAGGCAGCCCCCUGGGAUAACACUGACGCUCAUGCACGAAAGCGUGGGGAGCAAACAGG